rnacentral:rRNA from 1 species
UACGUAGGGGGCUAGCGUUGUCCGGAAUCAUUGGGCGUAAAGAGCGCGUAGGCGGCCAGAUAAGUCCGGUGUGAAAGUCAAAGGCUCAACCUUUGAAUGCCGCUGGAAACUGUCUGGCUAGAGUCCGGGAGGGGCGAGUGGAAUUCCUGGUGUAGCGGUGAAAUGCGUAGAUAUCGUGAGGAACACCAGAGGCGAAGGCGGCUACCUGGACAAUUGCUGACGCUCAGGCACGAAAGCGUGGGGAGCAAAAGGG